rnacentral:pre_miRNA from 1 species
UAAGUUUUUCCACUAUAUCUGUGUUGACAUUAAAUCCACAGAUAGUGGUAAGACUUGAC